UGGGGAAUAUUGCACAAUGGGCGAAAGCCUGAUGCAGCAACGCCGCGUGAGUGAAGAAGGUUUUCGGAUCGUAAAACUCUGUCUUUUGGGGCGAACGUGAGUAUGGUGAACAAUCAUAGUCAGUGACGGUACCAAAGGAGGAAGCCACGGCUAACUACGUGCCAGCAGCCGCGGUAAUACGUAGGUGGCAAGCGUUGUCCGGAAUUAUUGGGCGUAAAGAGCGCGUAGGCGGGAUAGUCAGUCUGUUGUAAAGUGCGGGGCUCAACCCCGUGAUGGCAAUGGAAACAGCUAUUCUUGAGUGCAGGAGAGGAAAGUGGAAUUCCCAGUGUAGCGGUGAAAUGCGUAGAUAUUGGGAGGAACACCAGUGGCGAAGGCGACUUUCUGGACUGUGUCUGACGCUGAGGCGCGAAAGCCAGGGGAGCGAACGGGAUUAGAUACCCCGGUAGUCCUGGCCGUAAACGAUGGGUACUAGGUGUGGGAGGUAUCGACCCCUUCCGUGCCGGAGUUAACGCAAUAAGUACCCCGCCUGGGGAGUACGGUCGCAAGACUGAAACUCAAAUGAAUUGACGGGGUCAUAGCUGUUUCCUG
rnacentral:rRNA from 1 species